GCCAGGGACAUGGCCCUCCCCUCAGAGACCCUGGGACCUCAGCGGGGACCUCCGGUAGCCGCCAGAGUGACUCCUCUGCACCAGUCCCCUCCCCCACGCUUUGGCUGUUCUCUCUUUUACAGAAAAACAUGAGCUUCCGAGGGGCAAGUGACCUGCUUAGGCCCUGACCCCAGUGACGCAGCAGGAGUGACCAGGCCCCUCGCCUGGACCCCACACCAAGCAUUCCCAUUUUGGAGCUGAGUGGAGUGUCGGGGGGCACAUCUCAGCCUACCUGGCCCUCAUCUUCCAGCAGCCAGAGGGAGGUCCACUAAUGGGAAGUGAUGGCCACUGACCACCUGCUGCACCAUGGCAACCAUUGUCCUCUGGGCAGCUGGACUCAGGGGUCACUGGGUCCAUGGCCUCUCUAGCCUCCGGGGUUGGAUCCCUGUCCAGGAAAUGGGCACAGCUGUGGCAUAGGAGGAGCCUGAUCAGGAGGGGACAGAAGGAAGUUUUGCCUGAGAGAAAGGAGGCCAGGGAGGGACUGAGGGGGUGUCCAGGGGGGGCGGGUGGAACCCCUGGGGUCUCCCCAUCUGUUGUGGGUGAUGAGUGAUAUAAGACGGGACGCCCGGAUGGACGUGAUGAUCCUGAGCCAGACUGGCUGCUCCUGGGGAAGGGGUCUAGGCCGAGUCCCAAGGGCCUGGCUUUACUCAGGAGCCAACAGUGGGUGCCCCGAGGCCUCUGGGACAGAUCACUUUAUUCACCACGGAACAAAAAGCAUCACGUCUCUGUCAAAAUGAAGAAAAGUAUGGAGAGGGAGCCGACUGCUCGGAUGCGGAUGCCCCACCCACUCCAGGGUCCUUCCCACCCCCAGCCAGGCUGGUGCCACCAACAGAACCGGGUCCCAGAACCGGCAAGAUCAAAGGGCAGGCCCAGAGUGGGCCUCAGGGGACCCAGAGGGGGCUCCCAGUCUGUGCCAUUCUUCUCUUUACCCCAAACCCUGGCAGUGCCUGCCCUGGCAAGAGGCCACACAAUAGGUAAGGGGGUGCAGCUGGCAGCUUUGAGGUUGAGGCAAACGACCAAAGAUCCUCGCCUCACUCACCCUCAGGCUUGUCCCCUGCCCACGUACCCAGAGGGACCAUGACUUACUUUUCCUGGGGGAGUGGUAGGACAGAGGAGCCGAGUCAGUGGGCUCCUGGGAAUGCUGAUUGACUUUUCGGACUUUGGCAAGCCUUUUCCCUUCCUGGGCCGCAGGGCCUUUGCACGGGCUAUUCUCUCUUCUGGGAAUCCCUUUCUCAGACAACUACGCAGCUCCCUAACCCUGCUCUAAGUCUGCGCAUCUGUCACUGUCUCCAGUGGCCCUCCUUGAGAUGAUACCCCUUCCCCAUAUUUUUCUCCAAAGUAUUUACUACCUCCUUAUAAUAAACUUUAACUUGCUUUAUUA